ACUGAGCUUGUUUUUAUCUCCUGACACACUCCCAGCUUCUUGAAAGCCCCCUGCAGACUGCAAGCCAUAGGUUUGAUACUUUGCACAGCUCUUCCCCUGGUGCUUCCAACUCAGGACAUUGGGGCCAGCUUGUCUCUGAAAAAUCAGGCUUUUAUAAGAAAUCUCAAGGCAAAAGGCUGAACUCUCUUGGUGGCUCCCAAGCACAAAUAACUUUCUUAUGUGAGUUUUUCACGUUUUGCAAUUGGGGUCAGAGGAAAACAGUUUCCAUUCUACGUGGCUCUGGGUGGCGUAAGCCCCACUUCUAGUCCUAGCUCUGUCAUUUCAUUCCUCUAGACCUCAGUUACCUCUUCUGUAAUGUAAAGUGAUUGAAUCCUACAAGGCACUGACAUUUGGACUCUUGUUUCCAGGAAUCGCAGGGUGCUUAUAGCUUUCACCUCUCUGCCCUCCUUUCCCAUUUAUGCCUCUCUAAGGAUGUCUAAAUACGAGUCCAGACACUUAUCAUGUGUUGAGCAUAAGUGUGCCCCUCUGUUCAGAUCAGCCUGCACGAUGGACAUGAGAACAAGGGAUGUCAUGACUACUUAUUUGCCAGUGAAGGAAGGCACUUAAAGUGGCUUAAGCAAUAAUGGGGAUUUAUUGGCUUGUGUAACUACAAGUCCAGGGAGUGGAGAGUCUUCAUGUAUGACUUGAUCCAUGUGCUCAAAGAACGGUGUGAGGAACGGGUCUCUUUCCUCUUCUCCCUACCGCUUGGCUCUCCUCAAUUUGGCUUCAUUCUCAGGCAGCAUUCUCCAUGCUGGCUUCAGUUUGCAUUAUAACUUCUGCAGAAAGAGAGCUUCUCUUUCCCGAAAUCUUGGGUUGGCUUUAAUUAUCUCAGCUUGUGUCACAUACUCUAUAUCAGUCAGGACCCUAACAGGAAAUAGUUCACUGAAAUUGGAUGCUUUGAGGAGACUUUAAUUAGGGACUGUUCUCAAAUACGUAGGCAGUGUGCAGAGAAACCACAGAGAACGGAGGCACCCUGAGGCUGUAACACUGGGAUUCUAUUAUUAUUCCUAGGCACGGAAACAGAAAGAGCUGUGUGGCCAGGACUGUCUGAUGGACUGCAACCUUCCUUUGAGGGCUGCAUUUACCCACGCAGCCAUUCAGGAACCAGAACCAGCAUGCUGCCUGGUGCUGCAUUCCAUCCAUUCCCUGUUUCAGCCCAGGUGGAGGACUGACAAGGAGAAGGAAGGAAGGGGAAGACUGAGAGGACACUCGAGAGGUCCAAAGCUGCACUUUGUCUUUCGUCUUCUGCUUUUUCCUUUAGUUAACACAUUAUUUGUAAGUAAUAAUGUACUGCAUUAAGUAAUUAAGUAAUGAAUGCAUACAGUCCUCAUAUAUUGCAUCGGUACAAAAGUAAUUGUGAUUUUUGCCAUUACUUUCAAUGGCAAAAAGAGCAAUUACUUUUGCACCAACCUCAUAUAUGUAUAAAAGUAUUCAAGCAAACAGAAAAAAGUAUGACUUCUCUCUCUGAAGGUCAUUGCUGUUAUCACAUUAGCAUUUAUCCAGAUGCUUUUAUUUAUUUAAAUGUAUACAUACACAUACACACAUAGAAAGAAAAAUGUGCCUUUGUGUUUUAUGCAUAUUUUAUCUAAUAAAUAAUAUUAUUCUGCAUUUAUUGUUUGUAGCUUUUUUUUUCUCCUUAGUUAUAUACCUUACCAUGUUGGCACUCAAUCUUUUUACCUGCUACAUGAUAGAAGUUUGUAGUAUCAUUAUGCUACAUUUCAUUUAAUUAAUCUUUUACUAAUGGAGACUUAGGUUGUUUUUAUUUUUCUUUAUAUAGUGAGCAUUAUAAAACAUGAAUUGUUAUACAUAGGUACUUGUUUUUCUCCAAGACAAAUGCCUUUUCACUGGUAUUGCUGGUCCUUUAGGUAAGUUUUCUUUUAUACUGUUUGCUAAAAUAUUAUUUUCUUCAUUAAAGUCUUAGAAAUUUUUGUGAGCUGUAUUCUUAGCUAGUUUCAUAAUUUCUAUUAUGAACAAGAAUCUGUUAUUCUGUUAUAUUUUAUAAUGCAUUGUCUUUGGUGUAUAGGAAAAGCUAUUGUUUUUUUACUUUAUUUGUAUAUUUUUUAAAUAAAAUUAUUUUAUUUGUUGUAGA